UACGUAGGGUGCGAGCGUUGUCCGGAAUUAUUGGGCGUAAAGAGCUCGUAGGCGGUUUGUCGCGUCGGCCGUGAAAACUUGGGGCUUAACCCCAAGCCUGCGGUCGAUACGGGCAGACUUGAGUUCGGCAGGGGAGACUGGAAUUCCUGGUGUAGCGGUGAAAUGCGCAGAUAUCAGGAGGAACACCGGUGGCGAAGGCGGAUCUCUGGGCCAUUACUGACGCUGAGGAGCGAAAGCGUGGGGAGCGAACAGG
rnacentral:rRNA from 1 species